rnacentral:rRNA from 1 species
UGGGGAAUUUUGGACAAUGGGCGAAAGCCUGACCCAGCAACGCCGCGUGAAGGAUGAAGUAUUUCGGUAUGUAAACUUCGAAAGAAUAGGAAGAAUAAAUGACGGUACUAUUUAUAAGGUCCGGCUAACUACGUGCCAGCAGCCGCGGUAAUACGUAGGGACCAAGCGUUGUUCGGAUUUACUGGGCGUAAAGGGCGCGUAGGCGGCAAUUCAAGUCAUCUGUGAAAUCUCCGGGCUUAACUCGGAACGGUCAGAUGAUACUGCUUUGCUAGAGUGCAGAAGGGGCAAUCGGAAUUCUUGGUGUAGCGGUGAAAUGCGUAGAUAUCAAGAGGAACACCUGAGGUGAAGACGGGUUGCUGGGCUGACACUGACGCUGAGGCGCGAAAGCCAGGGGAGCAAACGGGAUUAGAUACCCCAGUAGUCCCUGAGCGGGCUGGCAAGGCGCAU